GUAGUUUCGCUAGCAGCUAGGCUAGCUUUAGACACUGCCACAUCAGUGGCUAUGGCUUUUGGAUUUGUCUCAGUGUGACCUUGCUCCUGUCUGUGUGGACAACUGCAAAAUGUGAUAUUCCCAGUGAAGGUCUCCGUAUG